GGGGAUGACAGGCUUCGACAGGGAGGGCUGGUCAGCGGUUGCAGGCCGGGGCGCCUCACCCCGUCAUCAAGGGGCAACGCACACAAGUGCCAAUACCAAGACAACUCCGGCUUUUGCGCUCGCCGCGUAAGCGGUAGAGCAUAAUCGCCACUGAGCGAUACGUCGCUCACGUUCACCCUGGCCUUUGCCCGAGAGGUUGGGAGUGGGCGUAAUCAAAUCGGGAUGCUAGCUGGGCGACACCGAUACACCAGCACAAGAUGAAUCGGUUGGCGAACUCGUGACCCUGUCGAUCGGGGCCGGGAACGCAAGACACAAAUAGAUCGACUAUGCCUGUAGUAAGCUUCUGGACGAACUCUUUGGACGCGGGUUCGAUUCCCGCCAUCUCCACUG
rnacentral:tmRNA from 1 species